GAAAUGCGAUAAGUAGUGUGAAUUGCAGAAUUCAGUGAAUCAUCGAAUCUUUGAACGCACAUUGCGCCCCUUGGUAUUCCAUGGGGCAUGCCUGUUCGUGCGUCAUUUGUACCCUCAAGCUCUGCUUGGUGUUGGGUGUUUGUCCCGUCUCCGCGCGUGGACUCGCCCCAAAGUGAUUGGCAGCCGGCGUACUGGUCCCGGAGCGCAGCACAUGUCGCGCAAACGAGUGCCUUGGUACGGCGGCGUCCAUAAGCCCCUCUCUCACGCUCUUGACCUCGGAUCAGGUAGGGAUACCCGCUGAACUUAAGC
rnacentral:misc_RNA from 1 species